rnacentral:rRNA from 1 species
UACGUAGGGACCAAGCGUUGUUCGGAUUUACUGGGCGUAAAGGGCGCGCAGGCGGCCAUUCAAGUCAGGCGUGAAAGCCCCGGGCUUAACCUGGGAGGUGCGUCUGGGACUGGGUGGCUAGAGAUCGGGAGAGGAGAGUGGAAUUCCCAGUGUAGAGGUGAAAUUCGUAGAUAUUGGGAAGAACACCGGUGGCGAAGGCGGCUCUCUGGACCGAUACUGACGCUGAGGCGCGAAAGCGUGGGGAGCAAACGGG